GGUGAGGUGUCCGAGUGGUUUAAGGAGAAGGUCUUGAAAACCUUUGUCGCGUUAAUGUGACCGUGGGUUCGAAUCCCACCCUCACCG
rnacentral:tRNA from 1 species